UGAGGGCUUUCUGGUCUGGAUUUGGCAGUGACGUUGGCGACAACGAGGUUGAGGAGGACGGCAAUGAGAACGAUGACGAAGAGAGAGGCGAUGUUGUAGGUGAGGCGGAAGGCCCAGAUGAAGGUGACCAUAAGGUGGCGCUAUACCUUGUGGACGACGGAGAGGAUCUUGGCGAAGGAGAGCUCCUUGGCAGUGUAGAUGAAGGUGACAGAGUAGACGACAACGGAGGUGGAGAGGACGAAGAGGACGAGAAGGGCACGGAGGUAUGUGACCUUAAAGAGGAGAAAGGCGAACCAUUCAGACGAGAGGCAGAAGAGGAUGGCGGAUUAAGAGGGGGAGCCUAGGGGGGCAUCGUCG
rnacentral:lncRNA from 1 species